GAUGAACGCUGGCGGCGUGCCUAAUACAUGCAAGUCGAGCGAACAGACGAGGAGCUUGCUCCUCUGACGUUAGCGGCGGACGGGUGAGUGACACGUGGAUAACCUACCUAUAAGACUGGGAUAACUUCGGGAAACCGGAGCUAAUACCGGAUAAUAUAUUGAACCGCAUGGUUCAAUAGUGAAAGACGGUUUUGCUGUCACUUAUAGAUGGAUCCGCGCCGCAUUAGCUAGUUGGUAAGGUAACGGCUUACCAAGGCAACGAUGCGUAGCCGACCUGAGAGGGUGAUCGGCCACACUGGAACUGAGACACGGUCCAGACUCCUACGGGAGGCAGCAGUAGGGAAUCUUCCGCAAUGGGCGAAAGCCUGACGGAGCAACGCCGCGUGAGUGAAGAAGGUCUUCGGAUCGUAAAACUCUGUUAUUAGGGAAGAACAAAUGUGUAAGUAACUAUGCACGUCUUGACGGUACCUAAUCAGAAAGCCACGGCUAACUACGUG
rnacentral:rRNA from 1 species